AAAUCGCGGAAAAUAAUGUGGCUGAUUAUUGUCCAAUCACUUUGUUUUUUGUAGAUACUGUAACGAAAUUUUGAAAUAUUAUAAGAUUUCACCUAUUCUAACGAUUUUAAAUUGUUUCGAUCCUAAUUCUUAACUUAGUAUGGCAUCAAUAAACGAAAAAAAUCGAAGGCUAUAAAACUGCUUGUUUUUAUAUAAAUUCAUUUUUGAAUAUUAUUGUUAUCUACAAAACUUUGGAUUAUUCUAACAAUCACCUCCAAACGAGUCAGAGUAGAUAAAAAAAGUGCAAAAAUGUGAAAUAAUAAAAGUGAUAAGUUCAACUGGUUCAUGGACGCGCAUCCAACAUUCGGAUUCUCGACACGAUACUGCUGUUUCAUAUCUCGACGACGAUUCCUCAACCGUUUUCGCAUCAUUCCUAUUAUUUUUUGGUGUUUGGUCCUUAUACUUUCGCGGUAUCGUCGAUCAUUGUACGAGAGGUUAAGGCACGAAUGAAACAUGGCUGGGUUUGGGCGAAUUUUCGGACUUGCUAAUGCGAGUACAAAUUACAAGGGUAUUUUGUCAAUCAGCAAUGUUAGGAAUAUCAGUGGUAAUGUACCUUUCAUGACGCCAGGUAGAAGCAAACAGAAUUUAAAUGAACAACUGGGGUUACCACAGAGACCAAAAAGGGCGAUGACUCCAUUUUUUAAAUAUUUAAUGACAGAGCGCCCCAAGUUCAUGGUACAACAUCCAGAGUUGAAAUAUAGUGCUGUGCUGAAAACCAUAGCAAAACAAUGGGCGACUGUUGAUCCUAAGGAGAAAUCGAUUUUACGAGAACAAUACGAACAAGAGAUGUUAACUUAUAACAAGAUGUUGAAGGAAUAUGAACAAACCAUAACAAGUGAACAGCGAAAAUCACUCAAGGAGGCUAGAGACAUGAAAAGAAGCAGACGAAGAAGACUCGAUUUAAAGAAAAAACUCGUCGAAUUUGGAAAACCUAAAAGGCCUCAAACAGUAUUUUUCAUGUUUCUAAAUGAAAGGAAACACUUGAAGCCAGAACAUCAAUCACGAACGGAUUGGGCUCGACAAAUGGCUCAGGAAUGGCAAGAAGUGACUGCAGAGGAAAAACAAAAGUACAAAACCAGGGCGCAAGAAUUGAUGGAACAGUACAAAAAGGACAUAAAAAAGUGGGAGGAAAAAAUGGUGCGAGAAGGUCACUUCGACGUCGUUAGUUCUCUUAGGAGUCUAGAUCUUAAAUCAAAGUCCGAAUAGGGUUACGCGUGCCCUGCCCGAUACGAAAAACUCGGUGAUUAUUCAUCAUCGAAUAAUGAAGAAUUAUUCUCGGAUACCGACUACCACCCGGGUCUGGGCACAAGGACAAAAAACCCGAUCACUAAAAUAGAAAAAGAACUGGCGAAAAAAAUCUGGUUGAUUGAGGAAAAAAAAGACGAUGGCGUGUCGUCAACGACACUUUUGACAAACUUUGAAAAUAAGGACGAGAAAUUAUUUUCAAGUGUCAAUGUUCCAAUGGUGGAAAAACCUGAAACGACUUCCUUUGAAGACCUUAUGAUUAAGUCUGAUCACGUUCAAACAGAAAAGACAAUUCCCUCCGAAGAUUGUGCAAAACAUAAUCAGGCGCACCCAACAGUUUCUUGCCAAGCUUCUUUAAAGCAUGAAAACGCUGGGACUGAAACAAAUAUACCUCAAGAAAAUUCUGUAAAGCCUGAAAACUUACUUUUUGAAAAAAAACGAUAUCGCAUCGAAAGUAGGGUGUUUCUUCAAAUAUAGAUCAUACAUUUUCGAUAAAUGCUGCAUCGUAAUCGUGCUAAACGAAGAGGCGUUUUUCUACAAAGCCUGUAUUAUGAGUCUGAAAUACAUGGUACAUAAUCCCA
rnacentral:misc_RNA from 1 species